rnacentral:rRNA from 1 species
AUUGAACGCUGGCGGCAUGCCUUACACAUGCAAGUCGAACGGCAGCGGGGGAGAAGCUUGCUUUUCCUGCCGGCGAGUGGCGAACGGGUGAGUAAUACAUCGGAACGUGCCCUGUAGUGGGGGAUAACUAGUCGAAAGAUUAGCUAAUACCGCAUACGACCUGAGGGUGAAAGUGGGGGACCGCAAGGCCUCAUGCUAUAGGAGCGGCCGAUGUCUGAUUAGCUAGUUGGUGGGGUAAAGGCCUACCAAGGCGACGAUCAGUAGCUGGUCUGAGAGGACGAUCAGCCACACUGGGACUGAGACACGGCCCAGACUCCUACGGGAGGCAGCAGUGGGGAAUUUUGGACAAUGGGCGAAAGCCUGAUCCAGCAAUGCCGCGUGUGUGAAGAAGGCCUUCGGGUUGUAAAGCACUUUUGUCCGGAAAGAAAUGGCUCUGGUUAAUACCUGGGGUCGAUGACGGUACCGGAAGAAUAAGGACCGGCUAACUACGUGCCAGCAGCCGCAGUAACAC